GAUGAACGCUAGCUACAGGCUUAACACAUGCAAGUCGAGGGGAAACGACAUCGAAAGCUUGCUUUUGAUGGGCGUCGACCGGCGCACGGGUGAGUAACGCGUAUCCAACCUGCCCACCACUUGGGGAUAACCUUGCGAAAGUAAGACUAAUACCCAAUGAUAUCUCUAGAAGACAUCUGAAAGAGAUUAAAGAUUUAUCGGUGAUGGAUGGGGAUGCGUCUGAUUAGCUUGUUGGCGGGGUAACGGCCCACCAAGGCUACGAUCAGUAGGGGUUCUGAGAGGAAGGUCCCCCACAUUGGAACUGAGACACGGUCCAAACUCCUACGGGAGGCAGCAGUGAGGAAUAUUGGUCAAUGGGCGAGAGCCUGAACCAGCUAAGUAGCGUGCAGGAUGACGGCCCUAUGGGUUGUAAACUGCUUUUAUAAGGGAAUAAAGUGAGCCUCGUGAGGCUUUUUGCACGUACCUUAUGAAUAAGGACCGGCUAAUUCCGUGCCAGCCGCCGCCGUAA
rnacentral:rRNA from 1 species